GAUGAACGCUAGCGGCAGGCUUAAUACAUGCAAGUCGAGGGGCAGCAUGAGUGUAGCAAUACAUUUGUUGACGACCGGCAAACGGGUGCGGAACACGUACACAACCUUCCUACAAGUGGGGAAUAGCCCAGAGAAAUUUGGAUUAAUACCCCGUAACAUAGCGAUGUGGCAUCACAUUGCUAUCAUAGCUUCGGCGCUUGUUGAUGGGUGUGCGGCUGAUUAGAUAGUUGGCGGGGUAACGGCCCACCAAGUCUACGAUCAGUAGCUGAUGUGAGAGCAUGAUCAGCCACACGGGCACUGAGACACGGGCCCGACUCCUACGGGAGGCAGCAGUAAGGAAUAUUGGACAAUGGACGCAAGUCUGAUCCAGCCAUGCCGCGUGAAGGAUUAAGGUCCUCUGGAUUGUAAACUUCUUUUAUAAGGGACGAAAAAAGGUCUUUCUAGAUCGUCUGACGGUACCUUAUGAAUAAGCACCGGCUAACUCCGUGCCAGCCGCCGCGGUAACAC
rnacentral:rRNA from 1 species